CCCGGGGCCACUCCGGUGUGGCUGCACCUUCACAGAGUCAGGAUCUUGCGAGUUCCGCACUGCAGCCCGAAGGCUUCUUGGAGUCCGGCUUUUCCCGAAGGUGCCUGUGGGUAGCCUGCAGGCACGUGAGUAAGGGUCCGGACCUCAGACUCUGAGACUAGGCCGGAAGACCCCCUCUACCAGGGCGCUCUCAGGGUUCGGCGGCUGUCUUUCCACUGCUGGAUUGUGUUCCAGGGGUCUGGUGGGAGCCCGAUGGUGCGGGGCUUGGGUGAAAGGUACUUUCUCCAUUUUUCUCCGGAUGGAAACCCCCGCACGGUUGGCCUUGGCAUCACCUUCCGGAUCGCGGUCUGCCUUUACCCUGAAUGAAUGCCUUUUGCUGCGUGGACUUUUUACCUACAUCCGGCAUGUUUGUGGCUCAUCCCAGAGAAGACCCCCAGGGCUCCGGGGCUGGUGAGCAAACAGGUGUGGCGCCCACGGAGCCAUCCCAGUUUCCUGUUUUUCUUCACGGCUCGGGAGCUAAAGGGUGUUUUUCUCCUGGACCUGACCUUCUGCGGGUUUGUUGUGAAGUUUUCUGGGCUUUAUUCAGGAUGCAUUUAGAGGGCUCUUUACCCCCGACGUUUGCUUCUAUCAACAUGUGGCAGCUGGUGUGGUCAUUUGUCUCCAGUUUUUAGUGAAUCCAGGUUUGGGGAUACAAAUAUUAAUACCAGAUCACUAAAGUUCUUGUCUUCAAAAUAGCGUUCAAAAGAAACACUAAAAGUCAUUUUUUUUAGUAUA